rnacentral:rRNA from 1 species
GACGAACGCUGGCGGCGUGCCUAAUACAUGCAAGUAGAACGCUGAAGGAGGAGCUUGCUUCUCUGGAUGAGUUGCGAACGGGUGAGUAACGCGUAGGUAACCUGCCUGGUAGCGGGGGAUAACUAUUGGAAACGAUAGCUAAUACCGCAUAAGAGUAGAUGUUGCAUGACAUUUGCUUAAAAGGUGCAAUUGCAUCACUACCAGAUGGACCUGCGUUGUAUUAGCUAGUUGGUGGGGUAACGGCUUACCAAGGCGACGAUACAUAGCCGACCUGAGAGGGUGAUCGGCCACACUGGGACUGAGACACGGCCCAGACUCCUACGGGAGGCAGCAGUAGGGAAUCUUCGGCAAUGGACGGAAGUCUGACCGAGCAACGCCGCGUGAGUGAAGAAGGUUGUCGGAUCGUAAAGCUCUGUUGUAAGAGAAGAACGAGUGUGAGAGUGGAAAGUUCACACUGUGACGGUAGCUGACCAGAAAGGGACGGCUAACUACGUG